GCCUGGCGCGCUGGCCCACGCCUGUAGUCCCAGCUACUCGGGAUGCUGAGACAGGAGGAUCGCUUGAGUCCAGGAGUUCUGGGCUGUAGUGCACUAUGCCGAUUGGGUGUCCGCACUAAGUUCGGCAUCAAUAUGGUGACCUCCCGGGAGUGGUGAACCGGCCUAAGGAGGGGUGAACCGGCCCAGGUCGGAAACGGAGCAGGUCAAAACUCCUGUGCUGAUCAAUUAUUGGCCCUGUCUAUUUAUUUAACUAUUAUUGAGGGGUUUCUCCCCACUCUAGGAAAUAAAUGUUACU
rnacentral:SRP_RNA from 1 species